CUGAGAGGGCGACCGGCCACAUUGGGACUGAGAUACGGCCCAGACUCUUACGGGAGGCAGCAGUGGGGAAUAUUGCACAAUGGGCGCAAGCCUGAUGCAGCGACGCCGCGUGCGGGAUGACGGCCUUCGGGUUGUUAACCGCUUUUGAUCGGGCGCAAGCCUUCGGGUGAGUGUACCUUUCGAAUAAGCACCGGCUAACUACGUGC
rnacentral:rRNA from 1 species